rnacentral:rRNA from 1 species
UGGGGAAUAUUGCGCAAUGGGGGGAACCCUGACGCAGCCAUGCCGCGUGAAUGAAGAAGGCCUUAGGGUUGUAAAGUUCUUUCGGUAUUGAGGAAGGUUGAUGUGUUAAUAGCACAUCAAAUUGACGUUAAAUACAGAAGAAGCACCGGCUAACUCCGUGCCAGCAGCCGCGGUAAUACGGAGGGUGCGAGCGUUAAUCGGAAUAACUGGGCGUAAAGGGCACGCAGGCGGUUAUUUAAGUGAGGUGUGAAAGCCCUGGGCUUAACCUAGGAAUUGCAUUUCAGGCUGGGUAACUAGAGUACUUUAGGGAGGGGUAGAAUUCCACGUGUAGCGGUGAAAUGCGUAGAGAUGUGGAGGAAUACCGAAGGCGAAGGCAGCCCCUUGGGAAUGUACUGACGCUCAUGUGCGAAAGCGUGGGGAGCAAACAGGAUUAGAUACCCUGGUAGUCCACGCUGUAAACGCUGUCGAUUUGGGGAUUGGGCUUAGAGCUUGGUGCCCGUAGCUAACGUGAUAAAUCGACCGCCUGGGGAGUACGGCCGCAAGGUUA